rnacentral:rRNA from 1 species
CAGCGUAGGGGGCGAGCGUUGUCCGGAUUUAUUGGGCGUAAAGAGCUCGUAGGCGGCUCAGUAAGUCAGGUGUGAAAACUCCCAGGCUCAACCUGGAGACGCCAACCUGAUACUGCUGUGGCUAGAGUCCGGUAGGGAGCAUGGAAUUCCUGGUGAUAGCGGUGAAAUGACGCAGAUAGUCGGGAGGAACACCAGUGGCGAAGGCGGCUCACUGGAC